rnacentral:lncRNA from 13 species
AUGUCAGCCUUAGAGCAGCGUUUCCCAUCAUGCUUAGGGUCAUGUAUAAAAAUUCCCAGUAGCCCAUUAUUUUGGCUACCUUGGCUAGAAGAAAACUUUGAAAGAGGGGGACUCCAAGGAGAACAGGGGGUUGAAAGAGGGGGUCUCCAAGGAGAACAAGGGGUUGAAAGAGGGGGUCUCCUAGGAGAACAGGGGGUUGAAAGAGGGGGUCUCCAAGGAGAACAGGGGGUUAAAAGAGGGGGUCUACUAGGAGAACAAGGGGUUGAAAGAGGGUGUGUCUCAGUCACCAGAUCUCAACCCAAUUGAACACUUCCGGGAGAUUCUGGAGUGGCGUCUUGAGACAGCGUUUUCCACCACCAUCAACAAAACACCAAAUGGUGGUAUUUACCGUGGAGGAAUGGUGUCGCAUCCCUCCAGUAGAGUUCCAGACACUUCUUGAAUCUAUACCAAGGAGCAUUUUUUAAAUUAUUUUUUACCUUUAUUUAACUAGGCAGGUCAGUUAAGAACAAAUUCUUAUUUUCAAUGACAGCCUACCAGGGAACAGUGGGUGUUCAGGGGCAGAAUUUGUACCUUGUCAGCUCAGGGAUUUGAACUUGCAACCUUCCGGUUACUAGUCCAACGCUCUAACCACUAGACUACCCUGCCGCCCCAUUGAAGCGGUUCUGGUUCUUAAUGGCCCAACGCCCUGUUGAGACACUUUAUGUUGGCGUUUCCUUUAUUUUGGCAGUUUCUCGUAUCUCUUUUGUUCAGAAUGCAGUUCUUCAUUAAAAAAAACCCCAAAAAACAAUACAUUCUAUAUAUUUUAAACAACUCAUUGAUUGGCUCAGUCAUUCACACUUUGGUGGGUGCUAAUUAAAACAGAAAAAUAACAUUUUUCUUUAAAUAGAAAUCAAGGUUGAUGUCCUAACCACUUUUUACAGAGGUGUUUUUUUAGUACCAAACGUGUUUUAACCCCACAGGUAACCGUUUUGACCCGGGGUAAAAUCUCCCCCUUAUGAUUGUCACAUCAUAGAUGAUUGGCAUUGAGCAUACUUAUAGGGGAUGCAAUAUGAGACUAUGGCUUCAAUAAAAAACCAGUUCAUUCAUGAAAUAAUUUGAGUUCUUAUUUUCCAGCCGUACGUGAUAUGAUGUCAUGUCUUAUGUUUGUUGGGACAUUUUUUGAAACACAUUAAGUUCACACAUAGAUCAAUGUUUGAAAUGGUAACCUUGUUGUGCUUCUGAAGCAACGCAUUUGGCUUGUAUUCAUGGCGUCGUCAACCCCUUUUUUGUUUGUGUCCCUCAAAAUGACAGGAAACCGGGUUUGUUGGUGUAAACUCUAGGGUAGGAUCCUCUCCGAUCAUUAUUUUAUUUAUCCUUUAUAUUUAACUAGGCAAGUCAGUUAAGAACAAAAUCUUUUUUUUACAAUGACGACCUACCCCAGCCCUAACCCCGGACGACGCUGGGCCAAUUGUGCGCCGCCCUAUGAGACUCCCAAUUACGACCGGAGGUGAUACAGAUGCAGUGCUUUUAGACUGCUCAGGAGCCCUGUCGUGCACUCUUGCCACAUUCUUACAGUGGGUCGUUUAAAGGGAUAGUUCACCCAAAUUACAAAAUGGUAUAUUGGCUUCCUUACCCUGUAAGCAGUCUAUGGACAGCAAUCAAUGCUGUGGUUUAGUUUCCUUGGAACGGUUUCCACAUGCUAACGAUUUAGCAGUUGUGGCACAAAUCCCAUUCAAGUCAAUGGACCAAUAUUAGCAUUUUCU